rnacentral:rRNA from 1 species
GAUGAACGCUGGCGGCGUGCCUAAUACAUGCAAGUCGAGCGAACAGACGAGGAGCUUGCUCCUCUGACGUUAGCGGCGGACGGGUGCGUAACACGUGGAUAACCUACCUAUAAGACUGGGAUCACUUCGGGAAACCGGAGCUAAUACCGGAUAAUAUAUUGAACCGCAUGGUUCAAUAGUGAAAGACGGUUUUGCUGUCACUUAUAGAUGGAUCCGCGCCGCAUUAGCUAGUUGGUAAGGUAACGGCUUACCAAGGCAACGAUGCGUAGCCGACCUGAGAGGGUGAUCGGCCGCACUGGAACUGAGACACGGUCCAGACUCCUACGGGAGGCAGCAGUAGGGAAUCUUCCGCAAUGGGCGAAAGCCUGACGGAGCAACGCCGCGUGAGUGAUGAAGGUCUUCGGAGCGUAAAACUCUGUUAUUAGGGAAGAACAAAUGUGGAAGUAACUAUGCACGUCUUGACGGUACCUAAUCAGAAAGCCACGGCUAACUACGUG